rnacentral:lncRNA from 1 species
CCCUCAAAUGUAAAUAAUAAAAUAUCCAGAAUGUAAAUUAAAGAAAGACAGAGAAGGAGGUAAAUAGGGGAUCAUGUCUAAGUGGUCGCUCCGUCUGUCUUGGCAUUAGUGCCCCAUGUGUCAGCAUGGACUUGGUUAAUAGUCCCCGGAGCUACUUCAGAAGGUUCAGCCUGGACUUGGAUAAUAGUCGCUGACUGCUCCAUUUCAUCGCCAACUUGACCUUUCCCUUCAGGGCUCAGCGCACUGGAACAAAAGGCGAUCUCCAGGCCGAUCGGCGACUUGCCAACUGGGCUCGGCGAUCUUCAGGCCUUCAUUUCUUCGUUCUUUUCAGCCGCCUUGUUCCUUCUAGCAAAGUAGUGUCCAUGUUUUGCCUCAAACUCCAAAUACCUGAAACUUAAGGAUUUUCAUCAGAUAUUGAGACAAAAUAUGCAUUUGAGGACACUAAUUCUAUCAUAAUAUAGCCCUAAAUGAGUCCAAAUUGUGGACUCAUCAACACCUCAUAUAUUGCAUUCAAAGGUCAUAUUGAGUCAAUACAUCUAACAUUCAAUACAAGAAACAUAGAUACAACCAUGACUCAAGUAGUCCAUUCACUUCAUGCAUGAACUCAUGUGAUCUUAUUAUAGGUAAUGUGGGUGAAGUCUAUUCACAUUAGGGCCAUAUACAAUUCAACAUACAUGAUGGAUUCCUUUUUGAAGCCUUAACACCCUUAGUUUAUCCAUUUUAGCUUUCCUUCUUAAAGCCCUUGGAGUCAUCUUCAUGUUACAAGCCUUACUCUCAAGCAAUGCCUCAUAUGAUCAUCAAGUGUACCUAAUUCUCAAGUAACCUAACCACAUGGCUCAUUCUUGACCUAAUCAAGCCAAAUCAUGUUUAGAAGCUUUACCCUAAAUCAAUUCACGUCUAGGUGAUCUAAUCUAAGGCAUUACAUGAAGAAGUUCAUCUUUCUUGGAGGAUCACCUUUAAACCCUCAAUUAACCUCUUUCAUGGCAUAGCCCUAAUCACAUCAAUUCACCUUAGAAAUAUUUGGUUAAUCAAGUAUACAUGUAUAAUCAUACUUAGAUCAUGCAAUUACAUCAUAAUUAACUCGCAUCCAAUCAAUUGGACCAACUUGCAAAAUUAAACCAUCACAUAAUGUAAAGAAGAAUCGUAGCUAGGGUUGGGGGUCUCAUGGAUUCUUGAAGAAUUUCGAGUUAAAAUCAUAUAAAAUCAAUCAUACAUUCAUAAACAAACAUCAUUCAACCUUUAAAAGCAACUUUCAAAGGAAUCCAUGGAGUUGAGUUGAAACCCUAGCUAAUUGAGUUUUCUAUAGAAUUGAGUAAAAAGUUUUUGAAUGGGCUCCUUGGGUGAUAGCUUCCCAAGGAUGAAGAAUUCACAUACCUUAGGUGUAAAAUCCUUCCAAAGUCGUAUUGAAAAGCUCCUUCCUUCAAGCUUUUCUUGAUCUCUUUCUUUGUUCU